AUUUCUAAUUAAAAUCUUUAAAAUACUUUUAAUAUAAAUAAUCAUCUAAAUAAUUUAUAUUUUAUUUAUUUUAAUCUCUAUAUCUGUGUCGCGCUUUCCUGCUUCACAAAAGUCACAUUUAUUUUCACGUUUAUUUUAGUCUAGAAAUACACGUGUACAAAAGUUUUUGGCUCAACGAAUAUCAUCGACCAAGCACUAUACUCAUAUACACCGUAUUGAUAUAGCCCCGUGUAACUUUUUCCUAUUCCCGAAGCUAAAAUUACUAUUUCGAGGAAGGCGUUUUGAGUCAAUUGAGGCCAUAAAAAAAAAAAUUCGCUAAAGAAGCUCAAUCAACCAACGAACGAGGAUUGGGUCAAGCGGUGGUGUGUUGCACUCGAUGGAGCUUACUUUAAAGGCGACAAAAUAAAUUUUGAUAGAUAAAUUAAUUUUUCUGUGUUUCAAUUAAUAAUUUCGGAUAUUUUUUUACACAGAGUAUACAUUCAUAUCAUAUUUAUGGUAUUAAGAGUGAUAAUCUUGAACAAAGUAUUGGACGAAAACAGGUAGAUAAAUCAACUACCUUCUCCCCCCUCCUCCCCCCUCGCCAUUCUUUAAUGAAAGCGCGAUUGAAGAAUGCGCAUAAAGAAACGCACCCGCGUUGAAGCCGCACGUUCGCACGAUGUGUUAUUUCGGUGUGCAGUGACAACCCUUAGAGGCACGGGCACAAUAAUCAAUUUGAAUAUUGUGAAGUACUCAUUACGAAAAUGGAUUUCGUCUCGUUGGGAUUAUGUACACUUUACUUUGUGGCAUUUUUCCUAAUUGUGUCGGUAGUGCAUAGACACUACCAGAUCCAUGAAAAUCUUAAAAAUAUUCCGCAAGUUGGAAGAUAUCCGAUCGGAGCGAUGUUUGAGCUUCUAAAUCUGUCAAACUAUGGAAGCCGACCUUCCACCAACGCUCUCUUGCUGAGACCGACUCGUUCUCCGAGGAAAGCACUCGAGAUCCUCAAGCCAAAGGAAGCAUCAUCUAAUCCACCGUCUGAAUAAUAGGAAAAAUAUUCAUCCCUAGGAAAUCGCAACCCCAUCGCUAGAGUGGAAAGACUUCAGAAGAUCCUAACAACAGAAAGACGCAAAAAUCUAAAUCAGAAACCAAUUCCUGGACGGGCAGCGUUUUCAGAGAUGCCCACAUUACCUUCGCCUUCCCCUGUUAUCCCCGAGGAGCGCGACUCACUUUCUCCUCCGCCACCCUCUCCAGCCCCCACAAUAUCUUCACAGCUUACAUACCGAAUCUAUCCCGACACCCCUUUGUCCUCCGUUCCAAGCCCAUCAUAUUCUCCUGUCCCUGUAAAUUUCUUUGAUUCUCCUACCCCUUCGAAUUCCACGUCCAGUGUGGAAUUUUUAGAGGAAAUCUCCUCCCCUCUUUCCCCCACGAGUUCCACGUCCAGCGUGGAAUUCAUAGAAGAAAUCAUCACCCCUUCUUCACCCACUAAUUCCAUGUCCAGCGUGGAAUUCUUAAAAGAAAUAACCACACUUCCUAAUCCUGACCAUGAUCCUGACCUCUCUGACACGGAACAUUUACCUACACUUUACUAUAAUUAUUUUCAUACUUAAAUAUGAAGUUGUAAUGUAAUUAAUUCCAUUUAAUAGUUAAGUUGCGUAAAUAUAAAUUUUAACAUAUAAUUAUGCUAAUAAAAAUUUGUACAACAAUAUUUUUGUAAAAAAAUAAAUUUUCUCUUUGAUUAAGAUAAAAA